rnacentral:rRNA from 1 species
GACGAACGCUGGCGGCGUGCUUAACACAUGCAAGUCGAACGGAAAGGCCCUGCUUUUGUGGGGUGCUCGAGUGGCGAACGGGUGAGUAACACGUGAGUAACCUGCCCUUGACUGUGGGAUAACUUCAGGAAACUGGGGCUAAUACCGGAUAGGAGCUCCUGCAGCAUGGUGGGGGUUGGAAAGUUUCGGCGGUUGGGGAUGGACUCGCGGCUUAUCAGCUUGUUGGUGGGGUAGUGGCUUACCAAGGCUUUGACGGGUAGCCGGCCUGGGAGGGUGACCGGCCACCUUGGGACUGAGGUACGGCCCAGACUCCUACGGGAGGCAGCAGUGGAGAAUAUUGCACAAUGGGCGGACGCCUGAUGCAGCAACGCCGCGUGCGGGAUGACGGCCUUCGGGUUGUAAACCGCUUUCGCCUGUGACGAAGCGUGAGUGACGGUAAUGGGUAAAGAAGCACCGGCUAACUACGUG